CGUUCCCAAACACUCAGCUGUCGAAAUAUUCCUUUUGGACUUAUUAAAAUGUUUAUUAUAACAUGGGAAUAAUAAAGUGGAUAAUACAAUAUAUACCUUGUUAGAACUAAAACAUUUUAUCUUAAGAAUUCUUGCAAUUGUUAUCGAUAACAUUUUAUUUCCUUGAACUUAAACAAUACAAAUUUAGAGAGUCAAAAAAAAUGAGAAAGAAAAGAAGUCGAGGGAAUAUGGAUCGGGUGAGGUGAACAUACUGCCGGUCGCCAGAAGAGUUUCUUCAGUCAUCCAUAACGCAUCUCUGGUCAGCUGAUUGCCGAUUACAGACAUCUGAUAGGUGGAAAAUGCCAACCAAGUUCGUGCCAAGGCGAAAGCUUUGUUAUUCAAAAUAAAUAUAAAGGGCGAGGAUCGAAGUUCAAAUGGCUUAAUUACAUACGUCAUCGGACUCGCUCAGAUCGAUGUUUCCAUUAUCGUCAUCAUCCAGCUGGCGAUGCAAGCUUGCAAUAGCCUCCAUGCCAAAGCGAUCCUGAACACUUCCACUGUAGCAAUCAAAAUCAUCCGCAGCACACGCUCCAUCCGCUGAACCACUUCCCAUAGAACCUGUUGAGAGUGCUUCGGUUAACAAAAUAUACAAAAAUGCUAUUAAAUGUAAUCCACAGAAGGCUAUUUAAACUAAAACAUAAUAAUACAUACUGUUAAAA